rnacentral:piRNA from 1 species
UAGUUUUUCUGUAACUGCUUG